rnacentral:tRNA from 1 species
GAAGGUAUAGCUCAGUGGUAGAGAGCAUGCUUAGCAUGCACAAGGUCCUGGGUUCGAUCCCCAGUACCUCCA